GAAUGCUCACUGCUUGUCACAUGACGGAAACUUAGUUACAUUUGGAAGCGAGAACGACUAGGUUUUCAAGGGGGUAAAUGGACCUGGCAUCGAUUUUAAUGACAAAUUCAAUAAACUAACUCACCUAUAUAUAUUUCAUUGAUGGUGUUUUCGAACAGUGCUUGAUAAAUAUCGGAUAACUAAUAAUUCAGGCUGCAUCUCUUUGAAAAGAUCCUGAACAGGAUUAAUGAUCUAAAAUCACUCGGAUCAUGGUGCAUCAAAUGAACUGAUGAAUAUUCCUCACUCUGGUCACGGAUUCAUCAGUUUCUUUGAUGCACCAUGAUCCGAAUAAUCUUGGAUCAUUGAUACUGAUCCAGAUCACCCCAAAGGAGCGCACCUUAAGUUACAUUAGGACGCGAGGAUGACUAGCGAUGUCAGGGUUGUAAGUGGAUUACAAUAUGAACAAAUGAAAAAUCAUACCAGAGCCCCUUUAACUCAAUAAUAACUUGUUUCUUGUCUAGACCUCUAAGCUAAGUCUUACAACACAUCUUUUUCACGAAAAGCCUCAGGAUCUCCCUCAAUCAGAUUUACAAACUUCGUUUAAUCACUGCCUGACAUUAAAACGAUUUAAGGACGCUUGGGGACUGGCUCGGAUCCUGGACACCCGAGACGCCUGGGUCGAACUUGG